UAAACGACUCUCGGCAACGGAUAUCUCGGCUCACGCAUCGAUGAAGAACGUAGCAAAAUGCGAUACUUGGUGUGAAUUGCAGAAUCCCGUGAACCAUCGAGUUUUUGAACGCAAGUUGCGCCCGAAGCCAUCAGGUUGAGGGCACGUCUGCCUGGGCGUCACGU
rnacentral:rRNA from 1 species